rnacentral:rRNA from 1 species
GCUUCGGGUUUUUUGGUCUACCCUGCGUGAGCGGACGAAAACAACAACACCUAAAAUGUGGAAUAUAGCAUAUAGUCGACAAGAGAAAUCUACGAAAAACAAACAAAACUUUCAACAACGGAUCUCUUGGUUCUCGCAUCGAUGAAGAGCGCAGCGAAAUGCGAUACCUAGUGUGAAUUGCAGCCAUCGUGAAUCAUCGAGUUCUUGAACGCACAUUGCGCCCCUCGGCAUUCCGGGGGGCAUGCCUGUUUGAGCGUCGUUUCCAUCUUGCGCGUGCGCAGAGUUGGGGGAGCGGAGCGGACGACGUGUAAAGAGCGUCGGAGCUGCGACUCGCCUGAAAGGGAGCGAAGCUGGCCGAGCGAACUAGACUUUUUUUCAGGGACGCUUGGCGGCCGAGAGCGAGUGUUGCGAGACAACAAAAAGCUCGACCUCAAAUCAGGUAGGAAUACCCGCUGAACUUAAGCAUAUCAAUAAGCGGAGGAA